rnacentral:lncRNA from 1 species
AUAAUUUGGAGAAUUUAUACUAUUUACACGGACCACCCUGCAAAGAUCAGGGAAGCUCCUGGCAGGGACAGCAGAGGAAUCAGAUACUCUUGGGGAACACAAGGUCCCAGCAGUGGCUAGGGUGUGACUGCUACUUUUGCAUAAUCAGGCAGCAGGGAGCUAUGAGGAGCAGAACAGUCCCUGCCUGCUGUCCUCACUCAGAGGCUUGGGGUGCACUGAGCCUUGGAGUGCCCGGGAUGGUGGACAGCUUGAGCACAGGGGCAAGGGCAGGGCUCUACUGUAGCUCAGGAAUAAACUGGGACCAGUUGAUGUUGUCAGGGCCCAGUGGGUCCUCGUCCAGGCCAGGAAAGCUGAUGUCCAGCAGGAUCUUGCUGAGGCUGUCAUUCAUUGUGUCCAGGACCAGGCCUUCUGUCAGAGAACGAUUGGCUGCAAGGCCAGAAACCUGUGGCUCCGGGGAGCCUGGCUUGGGGACGUCUAUAUCUGAGGGAGAAGAGUUGCCAAAGGGGACGGAGAUGAGGUCUAAGGGUUCUGAACUGAGGAGCCUUUGCGGUGAUUCAAGGGGGGGAGCACUUUGCAAGGGAGUGGUGCUGAGAUCCAUCAGCCCCAGGGGGUCAGGCAAGGGGUCAGAGGCACCCUGGGAGGUUUGUACUGGGCUGAAAUCCAGUCCCCCUACUUUGGCUGGGGGCGUGAGCCUCCAGGAUUCAGGGGUUCUGGGGAGGACAGAUUUGCUCGGGGUGGAGGAGAUGGGCAGCGUUUCCUUAAUGGGUGUCUUAAAAGGUCCUCCCACUUCCUGGGAGUAGCUGAGCUGGGAGGCAGGGUCAGAGGAGUCUGCUGGGAACGGGAGCUCUGCGGCCCAGCGGGAAGUACUGGGCCCCUCUGAGAAGAGCAGCUCCGGCUCAUCCACACAGGGAGGCAGUAGAUGCUGUUUUCUCCGAGACCGGCUCCUCUCCCUCCUCUCCCUGUGUUGAAUCACAAGCAUUUCCGAGACACACCGGGUUGGGGACCUAAGCCCACUGUAGGACUUCUUGGGUCUUGGGGUGGGAGAUUGGGACGAAUCCUCCCAGGAGUGAGAUGAUUCCUCUUUGAAAGAUGGGGCCGGGGAGGGCCACUCUUCCAAGGGAGGGCUCUCCACUUUGAUGGGUCUCGCUAAGUGUGGCAUUUCCUCCCCAGGCUGGAUUUCUUCCUCCUUGAUAGUCUGAACUGGAAGCAAAGGAGAAAACCCUUCUCCAAACAGGAGUUUCUCCUCUUUCCCUGGUCCUGCAGAAGAAAGAGGAGCUAUCCCCUCCUCAGCUAGCAGCACCUGAAAGGGAAACAGAGAUAAGGUGAACCAACGGUCACCAGACAGGACGCACAAAAAU